rnacentral:snRNA from 1 species
CCAAGGCUAAAUACGGGC